rnacentral:rRNA from 1 species
GAACUUAGCAGAGAUGCUUUGGUGCCUUCGGGAACUCUGAGACAGGUGCUACAUGGCUGUCGUCAGCUCGUGUUGUGAAAUGUUGGGUUAAGUCCCGCAACGAGCGCAACCCUUAUCCUUUGUUGCCAGCGGCUCGGCCGGGAACUCAAAGGAGACUGCCGGUGAUAAACCGGAGGAAGGUGGGGAUGACGUCAAGUCAUCAUGGCCCUUACGGCCAGGGCUACACACGUGCUACAAUGGCGCAUACAAAGAGAAGCGACCUCGCGAGAGCAAGCGGACCUCAUAAAGUGCGUCGUAGUCCGGAUUGGAGUCUGCAACUCGACUCCAUGAAGUCGGAAUCGCUAGUAAUCGUAGAUCAGAAUGCUACGGUGAAUACGUUCCCGGGCCUUGUACACACCGCCCGUCACACCAUGGGAGUGGGUUGCAAAAGAAGUAGGUAGCUUAACCUUCGGGAGGGCGCUUACCACUUUGUGAUUCAUGACUGGGGUGAAGUCGUAACAAGGUAGGCGUAGCGAG